CUGAGCUCGCCCGUCAGGGCAGGGCCAUUUUCAAAUACCAAACUCCCGACAAAUCUGAAGCAUCAGCCUCGGUUGCAGAGAACUCGCAUCGUCUGGACGGGAUGCGUUUGCAGAAAUCCUGUGAAAGGACGAGACGUGACCCGACCCAGGGAACUGAGAGGGCUUGAAACAACAACCGGAUUAUGAUCCUCCAAUCGGUCUACUGUUGGAGUCUAUUGUUACUCUGCAGCCACAGUCUAGAGAUAGAUCUACACAAGAAGACCUGGACAGAGUUGCUUUACAAUGUAAGGAUGCCUAUGACUUACGGAUUUAGGAAAUCGAUAUUAACUAAAGAGAAAUAGCCAUGAUAUUAUUUAGAUUUUAAAAGGAUGUUGCUUUCAUCAAAAGAGCAAUUAAACUUACUGGAGAUAGUAAGGUAAACUAACAGCCACAUUGCCG